GGGGCGGUAUUUCAAUAGGAGAAUUCUGCUCUCGCACAGCAGGGAUCGGGGUGCAAUUCCCCGUCGCUCCACCA
rnacentral:tRNA from 1 species